rnacentral:rRNA from 1 species
GAUGAACGCUGGCGGCGUGCCUAAUACAUGCAAGUCGAGCGAACAGACGAGGAGCUUGCUCCUCUGACGUUAGCGGCGGACGGGUGAGUAACACGUGGAUAACCUACCUAUAAGACUGGGAUAACUUCGGGAAACCGGAGCUAAUACCGGAUAAUAUAUUGAACCGCAUGGUUCAAUAGUGAAAGACGGCUUUGCUGUCACUUAUAGAUGGAUCCGCGCCGCAUUAGCUAGUUGGUAAGGUAACGGCUUACCAAGGCAACGAUGCGUAGCCGACCUGAGAGGGUGAUCGGCCACACUGGAACUGAGACACGGUCCAGACUCCUACGGGAGGCAGCAGUAGGGAAUCUUCCGCAAUGGGCGAAAGCCUGACGGAGCAACGCCGCGUGAGUGAUGAAGGUCUUCGGAUCGUAAAGCUCUGUUAUUAGGGAAGAACAGAUGUGUAAGUAACUAUGCACGUCUUGACGGUACCUAAUCAGAAAGCCCCGGCUAACUACGUG